UACGUAGGGGGCAAGCGUUGUCCGGAUUUAUUGGGCGUAAAGAGCGUGUAGGCGGCCUUACAGGUCAGCUGUGAAAACUCGAGGCUCAACCUCGAGACGUCGGUUGAAACCGUAAGGCUAGAGUCCGGAAGAGGAGAGUGGAACUCCCGGUGUAGUGGUGAAAUGCGUAGAGAUCGGGAAGAACACCAGUGGCGAAGGCGGCCGGCUGGGGGCGCCCUGACGCUGAGGCGCGAGAGCGUGGGGAGCAAACCGG
rnacentral:rRNA from 1 species